rnacentral:rRNA from 1 species
CACGUAGUUAGCCGUGGCUUCCUCCGUGGGUACCGUCAUUAUCGUCCCCACUGACAGAGGUUUACAAUCCGAAAACCUUCUUCCCUCACGCGGCGUCGCUGGAUAAGGGUUUCCCCCAUUGUCCAAUAUUCCCCACUGCUGCCUCCCGUAGGAGUCUGGGCCGUGUCUCAGUCCCAAUGUGGCCGAUCAGCCUCUCAGUCCGGCUACUGAUCGUCGACUUGGUGGGCCGUUACCUCACCAACUAUCUAAUCAGACGCGAGCCCAUCUUUCAGCGAUAAAUCUUUGGUACCAAAAGGAUGCCCCUCUGGCACGUUAUGCGGUAUUAGCAGUCGUUUCCAACUGUUGUCCCCCACUGAAAGGCAGGUUGCUCACGUGUUACUCACCCGUCCGCCACUGAUCCGAGGAGCAAGCUCCUCUUCACCGUUCGACUUGCAUGUGUUAGGCGCGCCGCCAGCGUUCGUCCUGAGCCAGGAUCAAACUCU